rnacentral:rRNA from 1 species
UGUCUAGGGGCUCAAACCUAAAGAACCCAAAUAUCUAAACGGAGAGAUUCAAUACUGAACUUAACACUCAGUGUGCACUUCUCUCUUAGUAAGACGCCGUGAUCCAUUAGAAAUUGGUAGACGCCAGUCUAUAUGAGGUCAUCAAUGGGCUUGUACGAAGUUUAUUGGAACGAAUGGCAUGAUCUUUCAACGGUCGUGUGUAUUGUCUGGUAAGCGUGCGAGUACCCGCAAUGACUGUCUGAUGGAUUUUAAAGAUUGUAUCACUGAUGUUACGGCAUCACUCGCUUCGGCGAGCGUUUGAUAUGUAUCCGAUCAACGGCGGUUAAAUUUGGGAUACCUUUUGGACCCGUCUUGAAACACGGACCAAGGAGUCUAUCUAAUGUGCGAGUAAAUGAGUUGUAAACUUAUUUGCGUAAUAAACGUAACUAUUUUAUGGGAUUACGAGUCACUUUGGCUCUUCCAUCCCGGAGUAUUUUCAUCCACAUAUACGCAAGUAUAUGGAAAAUAUAUCAUGAGCAUAUUGGAUACGACCCGAAAGAUGGUGAACUAUGCUUGAUCAGGUCGAAGUCAGGGGAAACCCUGAUGGAGGACCGAAGCAGUUCUGACGUGCAAAUCGAUUGUCAGAAUUGAGCAUAGGGGCGAAAGACCAAUCGAACCAUC